GUACAUAUUACAUAGGUAACCUAUGCAUACUUAUACAAGUACAUAUAAGAUAUACACAUCACACACACAUUUUAUAUAUUCGUAUACACAUGUACAAAAUAUACUGGUUGUUUGAACAUAGUAACACACCAAGGUGAAAUAUUAUUAUUACAACCCAGUCAUCAGAGGCUUAGCUAGAAAUAUUUUUCUUGUGUUAAUUUUCAGAGAAAAGUGGUUAGGCUUGGUCUACCCGCUGGUUAUAUCAAUGCCAGUUAUAUAAAAUUAAAAUCGAAUAAUAUCUAUGUUUGGAUACACCACUUCGAUAUUCCAUCACACUUAACCCUUAACAGGUUGACUGCUAUGGCCAUUUAUACAUACAUGCUAAAAUGUUCAUGAUAUAUAUUUGGAUCACACUUGAUUUACAGUUUUUUUUCCGUGACUCAUAUGUGUGUCACAUGGUAGAUCUUGUAUUUUUUUCAUGUACUACUGGUGGGUCAUGUUGUUAGUGUUUUCUGUAUCAAUUCUUUAUCAACAAAAUUGUGUAAAUAUAUGAACACUGAUAAAAACAUGACAAAAACAGAAUUGACAAAAUCAUUAACUAUCUCAAAAACAUUUUGGCAAACAUCGUAUGACGCACAUAAGUCUCAUAGCAGUCAACCUGUUAAACAGGCG